rnacentral:rRNA from 1 species
GGACGAACGCUGGCGGCGUGCUUAACACAUGCAAGUCGAGCGGUAAGGCCCUUUCGGGGGUACGACGAGCGGCGAACGGGUGAGUAACACGUGGGUGACCUGCCCUCAGCUCUGGGAUAAGCCUGGGAAACCGGGUCUAAUACUGGAUAUGACUCCAUGACGCAUGUUGUGGGGUGGAAAGCCUUGUGCGGCUGAGGAUGGGCCCGCGGCCUAUCAGCUUGUUGGUGGGGUGAUGGCCUACCAAGGCGACGACGGGUAGCCGGCCUGAGAGGGCGACCGGCCACACUGGGACUGAGACACGGCCCAGACUCCUACGGGAGGCAGCAGUGGGGAAUCUUGCGCAAUGGGCGAAAGCCUGACGCAGCGACGCCGCGUGAGGGAUGACGGCCUGG